rnacentral:lncRNA from 1 species
GGAAGCAAAUUAAACAUCUCCAUCUCCCUUACUAACCCAUGAUACAAAUACACACCAACUACACAUCAGGAUUUUAUAAAUAACGUUGACGCUUUGCUUACAUACAUACAUAUAGCGAGAUGGGGUUUUUCCUCGGGUCGGUACAAAAGGAACAGAAAAGGUUAAGACUCUGCCAUGUCCCACCUAAAAUCUCAAAAAGGAACUCCGACCUCUAACAUCAUAUGAGCACAAAAACCCUCCCAUCACGAGCGUCAACUAUCUAUACCAAAAAGUGAUCUAGCUCCUACUCCUCGCGUGCGAUCUCACACCCAUCCCGGUGCGUCAGGUGGUGGCGGCGGCAGCAUCCCUCGCAUAGCACCAUCUCGACGGACGUGCACGGACAAAAACUCUUGUAUGACGGGGCCCCCAGCCAGGCCGAUAUCAUACAUGACUAAGCAUCGUACUCGGAUAAAAGUCAAUCCGGGUACCGAGGGACAGUCUAUCUCAGUCAUCUCCACCUUGACGUCAGACGGAAUACCAUAAAACACGCCACGCGAAACAGCAGGCAGCGGCAUAGU